UGAAUAUAAAAAUGUGUAGUAUAAGAAAUAUAAUAUUCUGCUAGUCUAUUGGUGAUAACAUGAGAGAAAGAGAGAGAUAGAUAUGAUUUAUCAUAAUAGUAAUAUAUUAUAAUAUGAAUGUCAAUUAUACUUAACUAUAAGGAAUAAUUGUUACAAUAUAUAAAGGAAGUAAUCAUUUAAUAUAUAUGUGCUAAUACGUGUUAAUGUCGGUGGUGCGUACAAGGUGCGAAGAUUCAUGCGACAAGUGCACAUUUCAUAUGUUAAAGUGCAAUGAUAGCGACUGACAACAGGGAAUGUUCACACGUAUGUGUAUACACGCACACUAUAUUUAUUAAGAGGUACUUUCACUUGUAGCCUAUCUUAACUAAAUGUUAUGACUAUUUACUCUUCUUUUAAUAUAUUCUCUAAUAGGAACUAAUUAAAAUAUAAUAUAAAAUACAUAUAGAAAAGUGUUAAAAUAUCGAAAUAUAUAUAAUUUGCAUGUACGCGCGCGUAAUAUAUUUGUUUUAUAUCUAUAAAACAUAUUUGUAAUAUAUCGUUUUAUACAUUAAACUAAUUGUGAAAAGAAUAUAAAGGAAUGCUGUGCAUUUAUUAAUUUUCACUUUCUUGAUAUCGUCGUUGCGAUCGUUCCUAGAUAAAAUCAAUAUUCUAAGUGGCUUCAGUUACACUUAACUCUCAUAAAUCAUAAUAAGUGACUAUCUGCAUACUUAAAUUCCUAUUUACAUAGACAUCAACAUUAGUCUCUUAUAGCUUACAAGAACACGAGACUUUGUGUUAUAUAAGUAUCCCACACGACAGUUUUCGACCUCCAAGAUAUUUUGCGCAAUCUGCUCGUUAACAUUCGGAAAAAUUACGGUGAAUAAACGACUUGGUAUGCGUCAAAUAAAAGGAAAAAGAAUUUGGGUAACUGGUAAAAUUAGAAUUUGAGAACUUGAUCAAUGGAUUAUGUUGACAGAUCAGGGAAAAGCAUAAUGUAUUCUACAAACUACAUGUUGAAGAGAAAUAAUAAAAUAUCUAUUAAAAAAUAUAAAAUUUACGUCUUUUUCUAACAAUAAGGUGUUUCCACGGUAACGUUAAUUUAAAUAAAUAUGUGAUAAUAUUUAUUCGAAUAAAAUAACGUAAAACACACUUGUCACUUCCUUUAUAAAAUAUUUUAUUAGUAACUCUUCGUUCAUAGCCUAUAAUCGUGCUGGAUAUCGGAAAAGGCGCCACCGCGAUUACGUAAUUCUGAUGGCGAAGCAUCGCUGAAGCACUUUUCCGUGGUGCUUUCGAUCAGAGCGAUCUGGAUCGUUCCACGAUACGAUAGAAUUCUACGAGUUCGCAUUUCUCUCGAAACAUGUAUAAGAAUUUCAGAGAUAAAAAAUGAAGCACUGUUUUGUCUGAAACUGCUGAUAAAAUCAUAAACGAGUAUCCGGCAACCUGAGAAGCAACUCGUAGCUCGGAGUGAUCCAGACUGCUUCAAUCGCGAGCGCAAUCAUCCCCGUCAUCAGUCACAGUCGAUCGUAAAUUAGGAAAUCACGUGCUGAACACGUCGUACGGAAGGUGGUGCAUCAGCCAGGUCUGCUACAACCCUGUGCAACUUACGUUUGAGCUUGCUCGUCAGUUGCGCGAGAGAGGUCACUUUAUCACGAGUUACAGCUACGUACGUACGACUGAGAGAUAAAAGGGACAAACUCAUGUGUGUGUGUGUGUGUGUGUGUGUGUGUGUGUGUGUGUGUGUGUAUCUGUGGUGGUGUUACACCCCUGCAGGCUAGAUACGCAUUCAACUGAACAUGGGGAUCACAUGUGUGUGUGUGCAAUGGGAGUACGUUACGGCUGGCGGCCGCGGUAGCCACAAUGCCCUUCACUGCCUGAGAAAAUUAGGGACGGAUUCCGUUUAGGUCACGCGGGGGGUAACUACCCUCCUCGCGAUCUAUACGAUAAUCUCUAGCGACGCCUGGCGGCGGGUGAGGCAGUUGGUGGAUGAGACUUGCGCGUGACGAGACUACCAGAGGUGGUGACUGAUCAGGGGUAGUUGUGCUGAUAAUAAAAAUCGCGUCGAUAAAUCUGAAAACUUAGUCACUUAAAAAUUGUAAUAGAUAUUAAAAUAGUGUCAAAUUAUUUUUUAAACUGAUUAUCGGAUCUGAAUCUUGGAGCAUAAAAAUAUGUAUAAUUGCACACAAUGAUUUUGCUAAUUUAUAAAAUUUGUUUCUUAAAUAAAUAAUUAAAAAAUUCACUUUUUUAAGAGUAAAGCUGGUUUUAUAAUUUUAUAAAUCGAUUUCUUCUUUAGUUAAAUAUUGAUUUAGUAUGAGAAAAUUUCUUAGUUUAAUACUUGAAAAUAUAUUUCGAUUCUUUACAUACAAAAGCUUCAUCAUCUCUUUCUCCUUUCAUAUUUUAAUUUCAUAACAUCGUUUUUAUGUCAUGAGCGGAAGCAGCUAGCUUACAGAACCAAGCCUUAAGUGUGAAUCAACAAUUGCGUGGCGUAACAAUCACAUUCAUAUAAAAUCUAUAUCAUGAAUGUUCCGCUAUCUCUGUACAAAGAAAACGCUUCGCCGCCUAUGCUUUAGGGAUACAAUAAUACGAUAUCGAUCGAUUGUUGAUAAUCAAUAUUGAUUGCCUAAAGACCUAAAUGAAAGAGAAAAUAAAGAUAACACAGUGACAUUGAUAAAUGUGCUCGUUUUCAAGCAGCGAACUGGUUACAUCAUUGAACACUUUCUAGUUUUACACAGCGCGGCUCGUCACGUGAUAAAUAUAUUAUAUAUUACAUAAAUUAUAAUAAACUAUAUAACUCUUCUGUCUAUUUUUCUACA